CUUGCUACUACUUUUAUUCAUCUUCUCCAAGCAUUUAAGAGCUCUUAAAGAUCAAGAUUUCAAGCCUAGAUCCAAGAUUCGAGUUCAUCUUCUUCAUCACCAUUGUUGACCCAGUUUUGGGGCUUCUUCCUGAGAAUGAAUUGUUCUUGGGGGAAUGGUACUUGAGACAUUGUGUUGGAUUGAGAGCUAAUUAGAGGCACGAGAAAGAUCUAGCUAAUCGAUGAAUUUUCAGUAUAUGGAGAUGACGAUUGUUAUUGGGUUUAGUAACAUCCGACCUUGACCUAGUCCUUAUGCAAGGCUUAGUUUAUCUAUUGUUGAUGACUAAAUCUAGUUUUUCUAUUCAUGGUAAUUCAAGUAUUGAUUUAUAGAAAGAGAUUUAUCUCUUGUUUGAUCUA